GUCAAAGUGGCCGAGUGGUUUUAAGGCGUUGCCCUGCUAUAUUUAAAUAGUUAGGCAUUGGGCUCUGCCCGCGCAGGUUCGAGUCCUGUCUUUGACG
rfam:Sugiyamaella lignohabitans strain CBS 10342 chromosome A, complete sequence.